UUUGGGAGUUGAAUGAGUAACCGGGUACGCCGUAUCGUACUCUCUCCAUUUGUUUUAUCUCUGUUUCCUGAUAUUCAAAUUCUUCAUCUUCCUGCCUUUGAAUCAUUAAACAUGGAAUAAGCAGGUUCCAUUUUUUAGGAUUGUAGUCCAGAUUUGUUUUCUCAGUAGAUAAAUCUAGGCUGUGGUGAAUCAUUAGGCACUAAACUCAUCAUGCCUAAGGGAAAUAUCAGUUUUCCUUCUUAAGGAAGUUGCUUCUCUCAUAAACCUCAUCAUGUCAAGAGAAGACAAACGAAAACCAGCUCUAAAAAAUUUCGGUAUGAUUAGUCAUGUCAACCAAAGGUAGUUCAUCUUCCGUCUCUCUCUUCGAUUUCGAUUUCGUUUUUUUUUGUUCACAUGGAUACGUAAUAUUCACCCACUUAUUGAUAGUAAACGCCCAAAUUCAACGAUGACAGCGAAGAAUGAACAAAUGAUUGUACCGCCCAUUAUUUCUUUUUUCUAACUCUAACUUUUUCAGUCGUUGUCUUCAUUGUCUUCCGAGACAACUCUUGGUAAAAUCACCUUCACUUAUGGCUUCAAAUCGUCUCGCAAAUCUUCCCAAGAAGGAACUGAUUAUGCUAAAUCGUUUGGCUAUAAAGAGAGAUUUGUGUUGUUUGUAAAGAGGUUCCCAGAAUUUGUUGUCCGGCAGUUUGACUAUAUUUGGUUAUGACUUUCUUGAAGUUCCAUUGGAUGUUUUAUUAGUUUUGGUUUUAUUUUAAUGCAGUUUAUGUCGCAAUAGUUAAUUUUCUUGAUCUUUGAUUUUUCCACGUUUCAUGCUGUCGUGCAGGAUUAAACUAUCAUUCAAUGAGAGAAAUUGGGUUUACUGCUCACGAAUUCUCAUUCUUUGUCUUCCGUUUCCAAUCCAAUUCCAAGAACGACUUAGUACAAAGCAAGCGGAAUAAGAUCAAACGUAUUUCAUGACAUGAUCUUAGGUCCCAUGUGGGAUUGACGUUAUCGACGGUGAUGUUUUUACUGAAGAUUGCUUGGUUAGUGAAGAUGGUUCUGAUUCUGAUUCUGAGUUUUUUGUUUUUAUCAUUUUUUUUAUAUAUAGUUAUGUCUUUUGAUGUAUGAAUUUUGGAACUAGCGAGUCUUCUAGGACAACGGUUGAUAUUGCCUACUGAUGGCAAUUUCGAUUCAAAGUGAAUACAUGACCUUCUUUUUUUUAAACCUUUCUUAGAUUCACCAUCACUGCAGACAAACAUAUUAUCAGUUAAAACCACAGUUGCACAAUUUUUACAGGUUAUAGUGGAUAAUUUUAUUGUGGAGCAUGUAGUUGAAUUACCAGAUCAUGAGCAUGACUACAAUGUGCAAUGUUGGGGUAUUGGAAGAUAAACUAAGCAAGAGGAAAUUAGGAGAAUUUCAUUACGAAGGUAUGUAAUUCAAGGGUUGCAUUGCCAUGAAUGUAUGUGGCUUAACUAAUAUGAGAAUUUAGGACUUAAAUUUGUAUAGGAGUCUUGCAUAUUUUGAUGGAAUUCUUGAUAGCACUAAGACUAUCGGGGUAGUACUUGAGCAACUGGUGUUUGUAUAGAAAACUGUAUCCAGGGAAAGGUGUUGAUCUCAAAUUACAGACAUCCAAUUCACAUUACAAGCUCAUAUACGACACCUGCUUUGGGUGACAAAGUAGGGCGGUUAAUGGGCAUCAAAAAUAUCUCUCCAGGUGUUAAUCAGGUGAUCUAUGCCUUUCGUGCAAAAUAUGAUUUUCUUAUCAUCACAAACAUGCACUUGAAUAAACUGGACAAGAAGAAUCAUUUUAAUACUACUUUUCAGCAUUUUGGUAAAGAUCAUAGCAGGGUAAUCCCAAAUUUGCAAUUCACUCUGAUGACUGAUGAUACAAAGUGUUCACUGGCUUAUGGUUUGUUUCUAAUUAAGCAAUGCUCUAAACAAGUCUUGGAUCAAUACCAAGUUUAUAGAUGGUUUCAAAAGGCUUAUUGACCCAAAAUAUAUGAUAUUUCCAUUCUCCGAACACAGACAGGCGUAACUUAUGGCAUCUUCGACUUUUUCUCUUAUUUAUUAUUUUUUAUUGUUACUAUUAACAUUUUUAUUUCUAUUUACACUUAACCCUAAUGAGAAAAAUUAUGUUUUCAAUGUAAGGGUUUCUUCUUAUUCCUCAUCUGUCGUUAAUUACAUGUUUUGGAUUUGAGGUAUUUUAUUUAGUUUUUAACUUGACCGCAGACUCUUAUCUUUUGCAAGGUAAAAAUUCAAAGUAAACAGGUGUAUGGGCUAUGGCAUGACCAGCAUCCAAGAAAUAGAUACCAAAAAAGAAGCAUUAAAAGGUUGCGGGGUGAAACAAAAGAUUAUGCCAACUGAUUUAGCAUAUCUGGAGAUGUUCCGAUUAUCGACAUGGGCGGAAUUCGAUCUAGGAAGUGCUCCUGUCUACUCGAAGACCAUGAGUAGCUUCCCCAUACUUUUAAUAAAACAAAGGGAUCCAUUUAAAGGUAACUGAUUCAAUUAACAAUAAAAUUUUCAUUAAUUCAUAGGGUCAGAAGCCUAAGCUCUUCUGCAACCCCAUAGCGAAUGAACUGGAGAAUUUGGAAUUGCAUUUAAUGGUAGUAACUUUACACUUCCUAUAAUCAACUGUAUAAAUAAUGUUUCUUAGUAAACUUUGAGGUAGUUUUCAUUGUUCCAAUUCAAUCUCUCUCUGCCAACUAGAGUUUUGAUAUUUAUUGGAAGUUUUAAUCAACCCAUUUUGUAUGGUGGUGAACUAAGGACUAUGCUCAACGAGACUUGCAGCAAAGCUGAUCCUUCAUUUUGCACCAUCAACUGUGUUCUUAAACAUGGAUGGUAAUGUUGAAUCAUUUCAUAUUCCUUGGGUUUGGUUGCCCCAUACAUAUAUGUAUAGGAGUAUAUGGCUAUUUCCAUGUUUUUCAGGUGUGCAGCUGUAAGAUUUAUCGUGACCCACAAAAGAAGAUACGUGGGAUGGAUAGUAUAAAAUCCACUCAUGUUGGGCCAAUUAAGUAAUUGCCUGCACAAACCGUUCAUUAGUGAAGCAAUACUCCUGCACAGUUGAAGUAAAAUAUACAAUGUUUAAUACUCCACUCAUGUUGGGCCAUUUAAGUUGAUCUUGCCCCGCUUUACCUUUAAUGCUAUACACGAUUGGUUGGGUUCUUUGAUGCACAUUAGUUGACCAAGCUGGAGUUCUCAAGGUUCCACGAAUAAAAUAUUCAUACAUCUUUGUGGACAAAAUUAUUGGUAUUCUGAGUCUGACUGUAAAUUUAAAUUCUUUUCGAGCGUAAAUAUAGUGC